rnacentral:rRNA from 1 species
UCCCAGCAGUCCAAGUCGCAGCCACAUUUAUUGGGUCUAAAACAUCCGUAGCUUGCUUUAUAAGUCUCUUGUGAAAUCGGGAAUCUUAAGUUUCCGGCGAGCAAGAGAUACUGUUUAGCUAGAGACCGGGAGACGUAAAGAGUACGGUUAGGGUAGCGGUAAAAUGCGUUGAUCCUUUCUGGACUAACAAUAGCGAAGGCACUUUACGAGAACGGAUCUGACAGUGAGGGAUGAAGGCUAGGGGCGCAAAUUG